UGAAUCUUUAGGGUUUCUAGGUACAUGAUCAUAGCAUAUAUAGCAACAGUUUGACUUCCUCUUUACUGAUAUGGAUGCCCUUUGUUUUUUUCUCUUGUCUGAUUGCUCUGGCUAGGACUUCCAGUACUAUGUUGAAUAGAAGUGAAAGUGAGCAUCCUUGUCUUGUUCCAGUUCUCAGAGGGAAUCCUUUCAGCUUUCCCCAUUCAACAUAAUGUUGGCUGUGGCUUUGUUCAUAGAUCACUUUUAUUGCAUUGAGGUAUGUCCCUUGUAUGUCAAUUUUGCUGAGGGUUUCAAUCAUAAAGAUAUGCUGG